UUUGGUGGUUAUAAAGCUGUGGUCCGACCCGAUCCCAUUCCGAACUCGGCCGUCAAACGCAGUCUUGCCGAUGGUAGUGGUUGUAUAGCUUCCGCGAGAGUAGGUUGCCGCCAGUU
rnacentral:rRNA from 1 species